rnacentral:rRNA from 1 species
AGAGUUUGAUUCUGGCUCAGGAUGAACGCUGGCGGCGUGCCUAAUACAUGCAAGUCGAGCGAACCACUUCGGUGGGAAGCGGCGAACGGGUGAGUAACACGUAGGUGAUCUGCCCAUCAGACGGGGACAACGAUUGGAAACGAUCGCUAAUACCGGAUAGGACGAAAGUUUAAAGAUGCUCCUGGCAUCACUGAUGGAUGAGCCUGCGGCGCAUUAGCUAGUUGGUGGGGUAAAGGCCUACCAAGGCGACGAUGCGUAGCCGACCUGAGAGGGUGAACGGCCACACUGGGACUGAGACACGGCCCAGACUCCUACGGGAGGCAGCAGUAGGGAAUCUUCGGCAAUGGGCGAAAGCCUGACCGAGCAACGCCGCGUGAAUGAAGAAGGCCUUCGGGUUGUAAAAUUCUGUUAUAAGGGAAGAAAGGUGAUAGGAGGAAAUGACUAUCAAUUGACGGUACCUUAUGAGAAAGCCACGGCUAACUACGUGCCAGCAGCCGCGGUAAUACGUAGGUGGCAAGCGUUAUCCGGAAUUAUUGGGCGUAAAAAGCGCGCAGGUGGUUAAU